UAUAAGCCUGAUGGCCACAAAAGAAGUAGAUU
rnacentral:piRNA from 1 species